AUGAAGGGGGGCCAUUACAAGAAGGAGAGCCAUGUGCUGCUCUACAGUCAGAGAGAUAGGGUGGGAUUUCACAGGCUAGCAGCACAUGCUCUCACCACGCUGAGAGCUGAAAGAUGUAUAGUACACGUGUGUGUUUGCAGUAGAAGGCCAUGGCGUCUUGGGACUGUCGCUUUUGAGGAAAAGGCAAGACAAUAUGACGACAGAGGGGGGUCUCAGGCCACAUCCACUGCCAGAGAUGCUGUUCCACUUUUUCAAUUGUUUUUUUUUUUUUUCCUCUCGCCCUUUGCCCCUGGUGGGAAAGUAUUUAGGACUUUAGGUCUGUGACAAAUAAAAAUGUCAUCCCUGCUCA
ensembl:lncRNA